UGCAAGUCGAACGCUUUUUCUUUCACCGGAGCUUGCUCCACCGAAAGAAAAGGAGUGGCGAACGGGUGAGUAACACGUGGGUAACCUGCCCAUCAGAAGGGGAUAACACUUGGAAACAGGUGCUAAUACCGUAUAACAAUCGAAACCGCAUGGUUUCGGUUUGAAAGGCGCUUUUGCGUCACUGAUGGAUGGACCCGCGGUGCAUUAGCUAGUUGGUGAGGUAACGGCUCACCAAGGCAACGAUGCAUAGCCGACCUGAGAGGGUGAUCGGCCACAUUGGGACUGAGACACGGCCCAAACUCCUACGGGAGGCAGCAGUAGGGAAUCUUCGGCAAUGGACGGAAGUCUGACCGAGCAACGCCGCGUGAGUGAAGAAGGUUUUCGGAUCGUAAAACUCUGUUGUUAGAGAAGAACAAGGAUGAGAGUAGAAUGUUCAUCCCUUGACGGUAUCUAACCAGAAAGCCACGGCUAACUACGUGCCAGCAGCCGCGGUAAUACGUAGGUGGCAAGCGUUGUCCGGAUUUAUUGGGCGUAAAGCGAGCGCAGGCGGUUUCUUAAGUCUGAUGUGAAAGCCCCCGGCUCAACCGGGGAGGGUCAUUGGAAACUGGGAAACUUGAGUGCAGAAGAGGAGAGUGGAAUUCCAUGUGUAGCGGUGAAAUGCGUAGAUAUAUGGAGGAACACCAGUGGCGAAGGCGGCUCUCUGGUCUGU
rnacentral:rRNA from 1 species